UGAGACAGGGUGGUUACCAAGCGCCGCACAUCGAGCUACUGAGCUACACAUCAUGAAGGACUCGUAAGACAGAAAUUCAGGGACGAUGUGGAUUUGGGUUACAGAGGAAUGUUCAGAGAAAUGGAAGAAAGGAGAAAAACAGAUUUUUUCAACUUGUUGUCAGCCACCCAGCCUUUUCAAAAGAUGAAGAUUUGCAGAAGGUUUUGAAAGAGGAAAAUCUUGCAGUGAGAAGCAAAGUGAAAAAGGGUCUUAGGACAAGUCUAUAUCAUGAGCUGUGGAUGAUCUCAGGCAUCAUAGUCACAAGGAUCUUGAUGAAGAAUUUCAGAAGAAAAGAGAUUUUGUGGAGGAGUACACACCACUUACCAAGGAGACAUAUGGGGAUCUUGUUGAAGAAUUUCUGAAGAAAAGAGAUUUUGUGGAAGAGUACACACCACUUACCAAGGAGACAUAUGGGAACUUCACCAAAAUGGUAAACAGUCAGCAAGGUGUUGCAUUAGCAGUGAAUGAUUUUAGUUCUGACAUCAUGACAGCAUCUGCUGGUGAUGAUAAUAGUACCAAGGAAUUGAAAGGGAAUCACUGAAUGUUAUGUCCACUACUGAUGACAUCACAUUAGGUUUUACUUUAGAACUUUAUUCCAGAUAAAUGCUACCAAGAAGGAGAUGUGUUUCUGUCGUAUGUGUAAACUAGUUGAGUUUGAGAAUGCCACAAAAGCACUGGAAAAAGCCAAACCCAAGAACCAAGAAAUGCUUCAAAAAGCUAAAGACGAUGCAGAGGAAGCAUAAAAUUCAAUUUCAGAAGCUGCAAAGAAUGAGUUCGUUUUACAGGCAGACCACCAUGCUGUUGGUUUACAUAUGAUCUGUUACAAUAGGCAAAGGGUGUUGAGCCUGCAAGCCAGUCUUAUCCAGUACACUGAAUUGCGGUUAAAGAAUAGAAGAGAUACCUAUGCCAUUUUGGCCAAGCUAUUGCAUGACAUGAAAAAAUCUGCUUAAUCACUCAGUGCAAAGAAAAGAGAUGACACCGUAAAUUGGUAGCCAAAAUUUAUUGUUAAUUUUCUUUAUGAAAUUGGAUUAUGUUAAUUUGACACGGAUAAUACAAAAAUAAUUUUUAAAAUGACACAAGGUUGUUUCAGGCAUUGGCUCACUCCAGGUUAGUAAAACAGAGUGAAGACUGGCACAGAAAAGUGAAACAGCGAGAGAAGCUUGGGUCAAGUGGGAUUCAUUGAGUGACUCAACCCAAGCCUCCCUUGCUUUUUCACUUCUCUGCUCCUAUAAGCGGCAUUUACUAUCACACUUUGUUUUACCCACUGAAUGCCUGGAACAGGCUAUUCAGGCACUAAUCAUAACCAUUACAAUUUCUUCAAAUGUGAUUGGUGCAUUAGCUGCAUUAUUUUUCUCUUAUCUUUCUGUACAGCUUUAAUUGGACAGCGUAAUUGG